UUGAUUGCAAGACAUACAGGUCGAGCAAGGAUGAAAAUCGGACUUAGUGAUCCGGUGGUUCUGCGUGGAAGGGCCAUCGCUCAACGGAUAAAAGCUACCCUGGGGAUAACAGGCUUAUCUCCCCCAAGAGUCCACAUCGACGGGGAGGUUUGGCACCUCGAUGUCGGCUCAUCACAUCCUGGGGCUGUAGUAGGUCCCAAGGGUUGGGCUGUUCGCCCAUUAAAGUGGUACGCGAGCUGGGUUCAGAACGUCGUGAGACAGUUCGGUCCCUAUCCGUCGCAGGCGUAGGAAAUUUGAGAAGACCUGUCCUUAGUACGAGAGGACCGGGAUGGACGUACCUCUGGUGUACCAGUUGUCCUGCCAAGGGCAUGGCUGGGUAGCUAUGUACGGAAUGGAUAAGCGCUGAAAGCAUCUAAGCGCGAAGCCAACUUCAAGAUAAGAUUUCCCACCGCAAGGGUAAGACCCCAGAAAGACUAUCUGGUUGAUAGGUCGAAGGUGUAAGUGCAGCAAUGUAUUUAGCUUAUCGAUACUAAUAGGUCGAGGACUUGACCAAU
rnacentral:rRNA from 1 species